CACGUUACUACUGAACACUCCAGCCCGAAAUAUUCACAGGAGCGAGAAAUAGAGGGUGAAACCUCACCCCGUCAUUUUCACGGGAGCGAGAAGGAAGGGGUUAAAUAAAUUUCAAAAUGGGCUGUGAUGGUCUCACUUUUUUGUUAUUCUAUUCAAAAAUUUUACUCCUAAUAAUAAUUAUUUAAAAAUUUAUAUUUAAAUGCAGUAAGUUUUUGCAAACAUUUCUUUGCUUAAUUAAAAUGGUUUGUCUGUCUAUUUUGUAGGUAUUGGACCAUCUACCCCAGUUGAAGGAGAAACCACCUCACAUAAAUGUGCCCAUUGUACAUAUGUAUCUGCUUCUGAAUCUAACUUGACACUCCACGUGGUGCGAGUUCACGCGGGUGUUCGCCCUUACGUCUGUGAUGUGUGCGGGGAAUCUUUCUCUACAAAUCUGUACUUGAAAGCACAUUAUUUGUUACAUACUGCAUUCCGUUGUAAAGUUUGUCAGAAAAGAUUGCGCACCUAACACAGUUAUAACAAUCAUUUGUUAUCUCAGCAUCAAAUACAGAAUGUACUCACCCUAUAAAUUAUCAGUUAAUUUUUUCUUUCUACUAAUACAGAUAGAACUAAGCUGAAAUAAAUAGUUAAGUCAUAAAUGCCCAAAUCAUUAAAGAUGUAAGCAUAAGAAUUAUGUAAAAAAAGAAGAAAAGAAAACUGUAUUUUUAGAAGUUUCAGAGUUUUGUUCCUUAAACAAUGCCUGUUGCAAAGUUUGAAAGACUACUUCUAUGGAUUGGAGUGGAUUUGUUUGCUUUAGUUAAUGACUGGAGAACCAUUCAAACUUAACUUAGUGAUGCCAUUCCUCGUUUUGAAUUCCGUCAUAGGAAUUGUAAUGGCUGGUGUACUUGUGACUUCUUAUGUUUUUCUAUUGAUUGCUUUUGUGAAACAUCUUACAUAUUAUUGCUAAUAAAUUUAUGAAAUAGUUGGAGAAA